rnacentral:rRNA from 2 species
GACAGAGGGUGCAAACGUUGUUCGGAUUUACUGGGCGUAAAGCGCGUGUAGGCGGCUUCGCAAGUUGGAUGUGAAAGCCCACGGCUCAACCGUGGAAGCGCAUCCAAAACUGCGUCGCUGGAGUCCCGGAGAGGAAGGUGGAAUGCUUGGUGUAGAGGUGAAAUUCGUAGAUAUCAAGCAGAACACCUGCGGCGAAGGCGGCCUUCUGGACGGUGACUGACGCUGAGACGCGAAAGCGUGGGGAGCAAACAGG